GCUCCGGGCUUUCAGUUGGUACCAACGGUCAGCGGCUGUGACGGGUUCUGGCGGUUUCAUCUGCACCUCGGAUCUGGUUUCUGGAGUUCUGCUGAGCCAACGAGAGAAAAUGUCUUUAAAGCGCCGACUGGUCUCCAUGUUUCUGUGCUGUGUUUACUGUGUGGCCUCACUCUUCUGCCUCCAUCCAAACCGCAGCAAUAUUGUCUCAGUGGGAGCACGGAGUCUGUCGACGGUCUUCCAACAACUUUAUCAGCGUGUCAUCCGAAUGCUGAGAACCACACUGUGACUUCACACCACUUCCUGUGUUCGAAAGAGUCACCCUGGAUCUCCUGUGUCACUGUGACCGUGAGCGAGCAUGCCUCCCAACAGAGCAAGAACAAACGAAUAAAAGAAGAGAAAAGAAAAGAGGAAUAAUAUGUGUGGUACUGCAGAGUUUGAAUUGACUCAUAUUUGUCCGAACAGCUUUCCAAAAGCCCAGACAAGAAGAUGAAAACAGAUUUAUUUUUCUACACUUGACAAUGUAUGCUUGCUCAUGAGUAAAAAUUGUUGGAAAGAUAAUUCAUUUAAAAUACAAAAAAAUACAAAAUAAAUAAAUAAAUUCAGUUAAAAUACAAAGUAAAAAUGUUUUACUGGGUAGAAUAACUUGUAGUGUAUCAGUGUGGUUCAGGAGAGAAAAGUUCACAAAUCACUUUUCUUGACGGUUUGCAGGAUUACCCAGAGUAGACAUUGCAGCAUCCUGUGAAAAUAUUCAUACAUGUUCAGUUUUUCUAUAACAUUAAUCACUAAGGUUUGAUUUAUGCAGACAAAAACCUCGUAAUUUCUGGGCUUCAGGAGGACACAUUCUAACUCACGUAGUUUGUGAAGAGGUUUCAGUUUUGUCAAGUUUUGAUGAGUUACAUUGUUAUUUGAUCUACUUUAUUGUGAUGUAUAAUUUUUUUGACAUCUUUAAUGUGUAACAUACUGCGGCAGACUGGCGACCUGUCCAGGGUGAACCCCGCCUCUCGCCCGGAACGCAGCUGGAGAGACACCAGCACCUCCCGACCCCGUUAGGGAGAAGGGUGAUCAGAAAAUGAAUGGAUGGAUGGAAUGUGUAACAUCAAUUAUAUUUAUAAUUUACAGCAUUUACAAUUUUGUUUUUCGAGAGUCUGUUUCUAAAAUACAUAUUUAAAAGACAUGUGAAAAGGUAAAAAAAAAAAAAUCCAAUGAAAAGUAAAGUUACUCUUGAAGUGGGAUGUUUGGAUGAGAACUGAACCCAAACUUCGGGCCUCUAAGUUAUUUUUCUUUUAAAUCUAAAGUAAUUAUUUUUUUCAACAUUAUACCAAAAACCAGCAGAUAUUAUGUCAGUAGGUUUGAGAUAAUAGACAAAAUUUAUCAUGUGAAACUAAUUCAGUGGGUCAGAAAGACAAGAUCUACAAUGGUGAUGAAGACAUUAUUACUAAUAAGAAGGAUUAUCUGUAAGUUACAAAGAAAGGCUAUAAGAAAGUCAGAAGAAAGUAAAUCAAGGCUGAUAAAAAAAAGGCUAACCGACACAAAUUUAGAUGGUUCACAGUGUUUAAACAUGACCUCCAUCACUGUUACGAUCUCAUCUGUUGGCUGCUUAUAGGAGCUUAUAGCAGCUAACAGAUGAGCAACAGGUCCCUGAAACACUUUUCCAUUUUGUGCUACAAAAUCUAAACAGCAGUUACAUGGUUGAGUGAAAUAAUAACCAACAUCAGUUUCAAUGGGCAGCAGUGCCUUUCCUAAGAUGCGGAUUUUGUAGUAGCACUCCAGACUGAACGGUAUUUUUUAUUCCAUAUAGACUAAUUACAGCCGUUAAGUAAAAACAGCUAUUCAGUGAGUUUGACAUUGUAUUAAGAGAAGAGCUGAAUUCUGUUUUUGUUAGAUUUGUGAUUUUGCAAAGAAGUGUGAAAAUAUAAGAUGGCGGAUCAUUUCAAGGUGUUUAUCUGAAUGUCAUUUUAGGAAGCAAAAUCUUGGGAAAAACAUGUUGUAGUGAUGUAAAUUUUAACACACUUGUAUAGAAGGAGUGAAUGGAAAUGAUUAUAAAUUGCAAAGUAAAUAAAUAAAUUAAACAGACUUUUCUAUGUAAGAAAUGAGUCCACUGCUGAUGAGAUAAUAGCAAAAUAGUGCUGUGUCUGUGUUCCAAAUAAAUGUAGUAGACUGCUGUUUAUGUCACUGAUUUCAUAAAAUACAAACUGUCAACUUGAA